rnacentral:rRNA from 1 species
UAAUACGUAGGUGGCAAGCGUUGUCCGGAAUUACUGGGUGUAAAGGGAGCGUAGGCGGGGAUACAAGUCAAGUGUGAAAACUAUUGGCUCAACUGAUAGUUGCGCUUGAAACUGUAUUUCUUGAGUGAAGUAGAGGCAGGCGGAAUUCCUAGUGUAGCGGUGAAAUGCGUAGAUAUUAGGAGGAACACCAGUGGCGAAGGCGGCCUGCUGGGCUUUUACUGACGCUGAAGUUCGAAAGUGUGGGGAGCAAACAGG